CGGACGGGUGAGUAACGCGUAGGAAUAUACCUUAAAGUGGGGGAUAACUUGGGGAAACACAAGCUAAUACCGCGUAAGCUCUACGGAGUAAAGCAGGGGACCUUCGGGCCUUGCGCUUUAAGAAUAGCCUGCGUCUGAUUAGCUAGUUGGUGAGGUAAUGGCUUACCAAGGCGACGAUCAGUAGCUGGUCUGAGAGGAUGAUCAGCCACACUGGUACUGAGACACGGACCAGACUCC
rnacentral:rRNA from 1 species